rnacentral:rRNA from 1 species
UACGGGGGGGGCAAGCGUUGUUCGGAAUUACUGGGCGUAAAGGGCUCGUAGGCGGCCAACUAAGUCGGACGUGAAAUCCCUCGGCUCAACCGGGGAACUGCGUCCGAUACUGGAUGGCUUGAGUUCGGGAGAGGGAUGCGGAAUUCCAGGUGUAGCGGUGAAAUGCGUAGAUAUCUGGAGGAACACCGGUGGCGAAGGCGGCAUCCUGGACCGACACUGACGCUGAGGAGCGAAAGCCAGGGGAGCAAACGGGG